rnacentral:lncRNA from 1 species
GAAUUCUAUUGUUGCUGAGCUACAUGGUGAAGUUGGGUGGCCAGGUAAGCACUUGAUGUUUUAUUCUAGAAAAAGAAAUGUUUAUGCAUACAUACAUACAUACAUACAUACAUACAUACAUACAUAAAUACAUACAAUAAAAAUGUCAAAACAAAGCUAGAGGCUUAUUCUUUAAAUUUACAUAUGCAGAUAAAUCUGUUACUUGAUCAUCAAAGUUUUUUCAAACAUCAAAACCGUGUUGAUUCAAAACACCUUCCAAAUCCCACCUCUUUCAUUUGUAUAUUUGUUUUUUUUGAAGCAUCUUCUAGCUAUGGUGAACCAAAAUACACUCAAGGAGAAAACAUCUAGUGGUAUGCAGGGUGUAAACAACGAAUGGUGCACACUUCUUCACCUUCUUGGCUGUUGUCUUCUUUCACAAGCACAUCUUCAAUCAUCAUGGGGUUCUAUUGAAAAGAAAGUUAAUGAAGCCAUUUCUUGCUUUUUUUAGGUAUGUGUUAUGUGACAUAUCAUCCACUAAUGUAUCAUUUAUCAUUCAGCAUCUUUUACUUUGAUGGGUAUAGAUACAGAAGGGUAAAAUGGUCAUUUACUUGCAUUCAAACAGUUUAUUCAUUUAGUAAAAAAAGGGACAUAUAUAUAGGUGUGUUUCUUAUUGACCUAACAAAUACAAAGGGGUAGAAUGGUCAUUUACUUGCAUUCAGAUAGUUCACUAGGGGGUGAUGCUUUUUGACAUAGUACAUACAAAGGGGUGUUUCUUUUUGAAUUCAUAUGUACAGAAGGGUAAUAGGGUCAUUUACUCACAUUCACAUAGUUCAUCCAGUCAACAAAAUAGACAAAUACGUAGUUGUGUUUUCUUUUUGACUUAAUGCACUUAUUAAUAUGGCUAUUAUUAUUAUUAUUAUUAUUAUUAUUAUUAUUAUUAUUAUUAUUAUUAUUUAUUGCUAUAUGUUAAUGUUAUUUUUUUUAUUAAUAUAUAGGUUAAUUCGUUCGGAAUCUAACACAGCUGGAAGAAGGUCGUGGAUACUUUC